CCCACCCACCUUGUCCUCUAGGGCAGACAUCCUCUCCUUGAGGUGAAGCUGUAACCCACCCACCUUGUCCUCUAGGGCAGACAUCCUCUCCUUGAGGUGAAGCUGUAACCCACCCACCUUGUCCUCUAGGGCAGACAUCCUCUCCUUGAGGUGAAGCUGUAACCCACCCACCUUGUCCUCUAGGGCAGACAUCCUCUCCUUGAGGUGAAGCUGUAACCCACCCACCUUGUCCUCUAGGGCAGACAUCCUCUCCUUGAGGUGAAGCUGUAACCCACCCACCUUGUCCUCUAGGGCAGACAUCCUCUCCUUGAGGUGAAGCUGUAACCCACCCACCUUGUCCUCUAGGGCAGACAUCCUCUCCUUGAGGUGAAGCUGUAACCCACCCACCUUGUCCUCUAGGGCAGACAUCCUCUCCUUGAGGUGAAGCUGUAACCCACCCACCUUGUCCUCUAGGGCAGACAUCCUCUCCUUGAGGUGAAGCUGUAACCCACCCACCUUGUCCUCUAGGGCAGACAUCCUCUCCUUGAGGUGAAGCUGUAACCCACCCACCUUGUCCUCUAGGGCAGACAUCCUCUCCUUGAGGUGAAGCUGUAACCCACCCACCUUGUCCUCUAGGGCAGACAUCCUCUCCUUGAGGUGAAGCUGUAGCCCACCCACCUUGUCCUCUAGGGCAGACAUCCUCUCCUUGAGGUGAAGCU